rnacentral:lncRNA from 1 species
UUUCAACUCUCACCCGUUCGUUCCAGUUCUGCCCUUCGCCUUUGAAUCUCUCUCUCAAACUCUCACAAACACAAACGAACUACCACAGACAGUCUCACUCGAUGCUGGCGCCGUCUUCAUCCAGUCGGCUAUAAGCUAUUCUUGUUUGAAAAAAGGUGAAGAAGCUACAUUCUAGAAAGUCUCUCGUUUCUCAGCCUCCUACUAUCUCUGAAUCUCUUGCACUUCCUUUUCAUUUUUGAGCCCUAGAAGGUGGACACCUUCGAUUCCAACGACGAUCCGACAGAUGACAGCACAAGUGCAGAAGAAGAAGGUGAAGCCCCCGAAACCAUCUUAUUUCUUUUUUCUUUUUAUGUGUUAUUUUGAUUUGUUUAAUGUUUCAAUCUUUUCUUUCUAAUAUACGUUGAAUUGAAAAUCAAGUUCUAUCAAUAUUUUCUAGAGUCUUGUAUUUGAUAUAAAAUCAUGUAUUAAUAAGUUAGGACUUAAAACUUAGACACAAGAGAAUAGAGAUUAGAUCAUUAAAUAUUGGUGAACUUAAUUGGAUGUUGUACUGAGGGGGAUGAGAUUAGCUAUGUGAAUUGCUUCCAGUAUUUGUGAAUUGAAUUGCUUCCAAUAAUUGGAUGUUGUGUAUUGCUGAGGGGGAUAAGAUUAGAUAAUUAGAGAAUGGUGAACUUAAUUGAGAGCAUUUGGAUUGAUUUUACUUUAUACUUGAUUUGGGCUUAAAGCUAAAGAGAUAGCACUGCUAAUUUAUGCAAUUUUACAGAGGAUAGAUUUUAUACACAUUGGAAGAGACGGAAGUUAAGGAGAAUUGCAUGUCUGGUCGAAUUCCUAGCUUAUCAUCAACAACUGUUCCAGUAAUU